rnacentral:rRNA from 1 species
AGAGUUUGAUUCUGGCUCAGGAUGAACGCUGGCGGCGUGCUUAACACAUGCAAGUCGAACGAAGCUCCUUGAACUGAAGAUUCGUCUGAUGGAAUAGGAAGACUUAGUGGCGGACGGGUGAGUAACGCGUGGGUAACCUGCCGUAUACAGGGGGAUAACAGUUAGAAAUGACUGCUAAUACCGCAUAAGCGCACAGUGAGGCAUCUCACAGUGUGAAAAACUCCGGUGGUAUACGAUGGACCCGCGUCUGAUUAGCCAGUUGGCAGGGUAACGGCCUACCAAAGCGACGAUCAGUAGCCGGCCUGAGAGGGUGAACGGCCACAUUGGGACUGAGACACGGCCCAAACUCCUACGGGAGGCAGCAGUGGGGAAUAUUGCACAAUGGGGGAAACCCUGAUGCAAGCGACGCCGCGUGAGUGAAGAAGCAUUUCGGUGCGUAAAGCUCUAUCAGCAGGGAAGAAAAUGACGGUACCUGACUAAGAAGCCCCGGCUAACUACGUGCCAGCCGCAGC